GAUGAACGCUGGCGGCGUGCCUAAUACAUGCAAGUCGAGCGAACGGACGAGAAGCUUGCUUCUUUGAUGUUAGCGGCGGACGGGUGAGUAACACGUGGAUAACCUACCUAUAAGACUGGGAUAACUUCGGGAAACCGUAGCUAAUACCGGAUAAUAUUUUGAACCGCAUGGUUCAAAAGUGAAAGACGGUCUUGCUGUCACUUAUAGAUGGAUCCGCGCUGCAUUAGCUAGUUGGUAAGGUAACGGCUUACCAAGGCAACGAUGCAUAGCCGACCUGAGAGGGUGAUCGGCCACACUGGAACUGAGACACGGUCCAGACUCCUACGGGAGGCAGCAGUAGGGAAUCUUCCGCAAUGGGCGAAAGCCUGACGGAGCAACGCCGCGUGAGUGAUGAAGGUCUUCGGAUCGUAAAACUCUGUUAUUAGGGAAGAACAUAUGUGUAAGUAACUGUGCACAUCUUGACGGUACCUAAUCAGAAAGCCACGGCUAACUACGUG
rnacentral:rRNA from 1 species